GCUCUUCGCUACCCACCAUGCUCUGCGGCACCGACCUGUCGCAAAGGCCGCAUUUCUGUGGUGAGUGAGUGCCUCGCUUUCCGUGCGGUGCGGCGGCGACGGAGGCCCGUGUCCUCUUCCUCCUGCCGCGGGGCCAGAUCCCCUGACGGUGUCCAGCUGCGCUUAAGUCUGGCCGGUGCCACCUCUCUCCGCAAUGCCCCCCAAGAAACAGGCUCAGGCCGGGGGCAGCAAAAAGGCGGAGCAGAAAAAGAAGGAGAAGAUUAUUGAAGAUAAAACUUUUGGUCUAAAGAAUAAGAAAGGAGCAAAGCAACAGAAAUUUAUCAAGGCUGUCACUCACCAAGUUAAGUUUGGUCAACAAAAUCCACGUCAGGUAGCACAAAGUGAAGCUGAAAAGAAGUUGAAGAAAGAUGACAAGAAGAAAGAAUUGCAAGAACUAAAUGAGCUGUUCAAACCUGUAGUUGCUGCUCAAAAAAUAAGUAAAGGUGCAGAUCCCAAGUCUGUGGUGUGUGCAUUUUUUAAGCAAGGACAGUGUACUAAAGGAGAUAAAUGUAAGUUCUCUCAUGACUUGACUCUGGAGAGAAAGUGUGAGAAGCGAAGUGUUUACAUUGAUGCAAGAGAUGAAGAACUUGAAAAAGAUACUAUGGAUAAUUGGGAUGAGAAAAAACUGGAAGAAGUAGUGAACAAGAAGCACGGUGAGGCGGAAAAGAAAAAACCAAAAACUCAAAUAGUGUGCAAGCAUUUCCUUGAAGCUAUUGAAAACAACAAAUACGGCUGGUUUUGGGUAUGCCCUGGAGGUGGUGAUAUUUGCAUGUAUCGUCAUGCACUUCCUCCUGGAUUUGUAUUGAAAAAAGAUAAAAAAAAAGAAGAGAAAGAAGAUGAAAUUUCAUUAGAAGAUCUAAUUGAAAGAGAGCGUUCUGCCCUAGGUCCAAAUGUUACCAAAAUCACUCUAGAAUCUUUUCUUGCAUGGAAGAAAAGAAAAAGACAAGAAAAGAUUGAUAAACUUGAGCAAGAUAUGGAAAGAAGAAAAGCAGACUUCAAAGCAGGGAAAGCAUUAGUGAUUAGUGGUCGUGAAGUGUUUGAAUUUCGUCCUGAACUGGUUGAUGAUGAUGAUGAGGAAGCAGAUGAUACCCGUUACACCCAGGGAACAGGUGGUGAUGAGGUUGAUGAUUCAGUGAGUGUAAAUGACAUAGAUUUAAGCCUGUAUAUCCCAAGAGAUGUAGAUGAGACAGGUAUUACUGUAGCCAGUCUUGAAAGAUUCAGCACGUAUACUUCAGAAAAGGAUGAAAACAAAUUAAGUGAAGCUUCCGGAGGUAGGGCUGAAAAUGGUGAAAGAAGUGAUUUGGAAGAGGACAACGAAGGGGAGGGACAGGAAAAUGGAGCCAUUGAUGCUGUUCCUGUUGAUGAAAAUCUUUUUACUGGGGAAGAUUUGGAUGAACUAGAAGAAGAAUUAAACACACUUGAUUUAGAAGAAUGACACCAAACAAGUCUGAAAAAAUUAAGCCAGCUCGGCAUGAGUUGAAAUUGACUACAGUAAUUUUUUUCCACCUAGAAUUCUUCAACAGGAUGUUUAUUUCCCAUGCUGAUUCUGGAGGGCUUACUCUCCUCCCAAAAAGGAAUAUUCUCCCUACGUCUUGUCUUCUGACUUUGGCUACAUCUCAUACUCAGUCUUUUAAUGGGAAGGGUAAAGCCUCAACUAUUUAAUAUGCAGCCUUCAAGAACCCUUAGAUGUGUGAAAUGGCUUAUAUACAGGAGACCCCAUUCAUCCCUGACACCCAUCUUACCCCUCUCCUCUCCCAAGAAGAUUUUUGGCAGCAAAGAAUUCUUUUUAAUUAUUGAUCAUUCAACAUUAGAGGUAACUAAAAAAUUAUUUAAUUUGUAGGUUUAUUACCCAUGUGGUUUCAGAUUGAUGAUAUGUAUAAAAGUCAACACCAUAUGAAGGAUAAAAGUAGAUACACUUUAUUUAAAAAGCCAGUAGAAUCACUAUUAAAAUUGAUAAGGAACUAUCAACACAGGUGACUUAUUUAUAAGAAAAUAGUAUUUAGAAGACUGGGAAGACAUUCACUGGAACAAGUAGUUUUAUAACUUGCUAGUCAUAGAAUUCUAUGGGGGUGCCUGGGUGGCUCAGUCGGUUGGUUAAGUGCCUGACUUUGGCUCAAGUCAUGAUCUUGUAGUUGGGUGGGUUCGAGCUUAGAGCCUGGAGCCUCCUUCAGAUUCUAUGUCUCUCCCUCUCUCUGCUGCUCCCCAACUUGCACUCCAUCUCUCUCUCAAAAAUAAACACUUAAAAAAAAGAACCGUAUAUCCAUAUAUAGCAUGUUACUGUACAAACAAUAUUCUUUAAAAACAAGGGAAAUGGUUUAGGAUCAAUUUUCUUAAUUCAUUUGCAUGAAGUCAAAAGGUUUCAUCUGGGCAAGAGCAUAAAUACACUUGAUCUUUUACAUGUGUCAUGUGCAUGUAAAAGGAAGAAAGAAAUCGUUUAAGGUUUCUAAAACUGGGUAUGAGAACGUCGUACUUGAUUAUUACAAAUAAGCAUGAUGAAUUCCACCUGAUAAAUUCACUUUAAAUGAAAUACAUUAAUGCUAACUAUAACAUUUGAAAAAGCACAGUUCCAUGCCCCCAUAUUUCAAAUUUGAAGAAUAUCACCAGACACUUAGCAAUUAAUUUCAAUCAGCUAUUUCUAUUAAGGAGUAAACUAUGAUAAAAUUCCCAAAAUUAGAAGAACCAAACUUACCCUGUUCACAUGUCUUUGUCCCCUCACACCCCACCCCACAGUUUAUGUAAACACAAUUAUUCAAAGAAAUACAAGAUGAAAUAAGGUAAACAUUUGUUGAAGAGAAGAAUAUCAGAUAGUAUUCUGUUGUUUGCAAAUAAUUGAGUUUGAAUUUUCAAAGGCUUGAAUAUCAAUAUAAUAAUAAUAAUAAUAUAAUAAUAAUAAAUAAGCCAUACCAAAAUGCUGUGUGGUUUUAGCAAGCACUCUGAAAUUUUUCAUGGAAAAUUGGAAGUGCUACAGAAAUGCACUCUAGAAUUUUUUUUAUUAUGUUUGAAAAAACAUUUCUUCAAAUCAUUUUUUUGAUAGUAUUCAAAUCUUCAAAAGACAGUUUUCAGGUCAUUUCUAAAGAUUAAUGUUUAUUUUUGAGAGAGAGAGAAAAAUAUGAGCGGGGGAGGGGCAGAGAGAGAGGGAGACAGAAUCUGAAGCAGGCUCCAGGCUCUGAGCUGUCAGGACAGAGCCUGAUGUGGCGUUUGAACUCACAAACUGUGAGAUCAUGACCUGAGCCAAAGUUAGAUGCUUAACUGACUGAGCCACCCAGGUGCUCCCAUAUCUGGAAAUUUUAAUUAGAAGAAACCUAGUAUGUGGAGGAGAUAGUGACAAUGGUAAAUAUUUAUCACUACCCCUUCCCCCCCACCCAGAAACAUGCCAUUCAAAGAGUAGAAACAGCAAAAUUGUAAUUUAAGUUUUCCUGAAUGAAUUUAGCCAAUUAACAUUUUAAAGUUAAGAGAUAUGAUUGACAACAAUAAAGCCUGUUACUUAAGCAUCAUUAGUCUUUAUUUUGUCUACCUUUACUUAGCUGUAUGUAAUUGGAAAUUGAACCUAUUCAAAUUUUUUUAGGUUUAUUUUUUUUUAAUUCUUGUUUAAUUUACAUUCAAGUUAGUUAGCAUAUGUCACCCUAUUGAAAUUUAAUAGGAGCUUUCUAUGCUGUCUAGAACUCUGCCAGUUUAUUUGAAUUCAAAUGAAAAUAACAGAUUUUUUUUUAAGUUUCAGAUUCUUAAAUGCAUAAUGUGAGAUGUCACUUACUGCUCAUACUUCCUGAACAGAGUUGAGUAGUGCUAACAGUUUUCAAAAGCCUGUCCAUCUUUUCAUCUUCUCUUCCCUUUGAUAGUUGAAGAUCAGAAGAGUGAAUGCAAAAUUGACUCUCAGAACUUAUCCAGAGGCAAAAAUAAAAGCAUAGGAAAACAUUAAAGUGAGCCAAUAGUAUUUCAAUAAUAUUUCAGAGGCUUUGACAAGAAACUUAGGCUGCCAACAGGUUUAUUCUUGUACUUCUAUUUUUGUAUCUGAUUCAAUUGCAUACGUAAGUAAGAGUCAUCAUACUUGUGUGUAGAACUGAAACUGAGCUUUUCUAUGAGAAAUAGAAUAAUAUGUUGGAAUUUGCUGCGCAGUAGCUGUGACAUGGAGGUUUUUGCCCCAGGGUUUAUAUUCUUUUUAAACUUUUAUUUAAAUUCUGGUUAUUUAACAUAUAGUGCAAUAUUGGUUUCAGGAGUAGAAGUCAGUGAUUUAUCACUUACAACACCCAGUGCUUGUCAUAACAAGUGCCCUCUUUUUUUUUUUUUUUUUUCUUUUGUU